rnacentral:rRNA from 1 species
CCUACGGGAGACAGCAGUGGGGAAUAUUGCACAAUGGGGGAAACCCUGAUGCAGCGACGCCGCGUGAGUGAAGAAGUAAUUCGUUAUGUAAAGCUCUAUCAGCAGGGAAGAAAAUGACGGUACCUGAGUAAGAAGCCCCGGCUAACUACGUGCCAGCAGCCGCGGUAAUACGGAGGGGGCAAGCGUUAUCCGGAUUUACUGGGUGUAAAGGGAGCGUAGACGGCAGUGCAAGUCUGGAGUGAAAGGCGGGGGCUCAACCCCCGGACUGCUCUGGAAACUGUACGGCUGGAGUGCAGGAGAGGUAAGUGGAAUUCCUAGUGUAGCGGUGAAAUGCGGAGAUAUUAGGAGGAACACCAGUGGCGAAGGCGGCUUACUGGACUGUAACUGACGUUGAGGCGCGAAAGCGUGGGGAGCAAACAGGAUUAGAUACCCGAGUAGUC